GACGAACGCUGGCGGCGUGCUUAACACAUGCAAGUCGAACGGAAAGGCCCUGCGUUUGUGGGGUGCUCGAGUGGCGAACGGGUGAGUAACACGUGAGUAACCUGCCCUUGACUUUGGGAUAACUUCAGGAAACUGGGGCUAAUACCGGAUAGGAGCUCCUGCUGCAUGGUGGGGGUUGGAAAGUUUCGGCGGUUGGGGCUGGACUCGCGGCUUAUCGGCUUGUUGGUGGGGGAGUGGCUUACCAAGGCUUUGACGGGUAGCCGGCCUGAGAGGGUGACCGGCCACAUUGCGCCUGAGAUACGCCGCAGAGUGCUACGGGAGGCAGUAGUGGGGAACCUUGCACAACGGGACGAAGCCUGUUGAGGCGACGCUGCGUGUGGGAUGACGGCUUUCGGGUUGUAAACAGCUUUAGCCUGUGACGCAGCGUGAGUGACGGUAAUGGGUAAAGAAGCACCGGCUAACUACGUG
rnacentral:rRNA from 1 species